AGAAAUUUAGGUUAAAUUUUAAACCCAGAACCUUCAAAGUUCUAAAUAUGAGGCACACCCCUCCUAAUUUCUG
rnacentral:tRNA from 1 species